AAAGGGUGGUUCCUAACGGAUCCUUCUCCUAUAUAUAUAUAUAUGUAUAUAUAUACACGUAUAUAUAUAUGUAUAUAUACGUAUAUAUAUAGGAGAAGGAUCCGUUAGGAACCACCCUU
rnacentral:pre_miRNA from 11 species